UACGUAGGGUGCGAGCGUUGUCCGGAAUUACUGGGCGUAAAGAGCUCGUAGGUGGUUUGUCGCGUUGUCCGUGAAAACUCACAACUCAAUUGUGGGCGUGCGGGCGAUACGGGCAGACUGGAGUACUGCAGGGGAGGACUGGAAUUCCUGGUGUAGCGGUGGAAUGCGCAGAUAUCAGGAGGAACACCGGUGGCGAAGGCGGGUCUCUGGGCAGUAACUGACGCUGAGGAGCGAAAGCGUGGGGAGCGAACAGG
rnacentral:rRNA from 1 species